rnacentral:lncRNA from 1 species
CUGAAAUCUAUAUGCACUAUAGGGCUUUCAUAGUACUUUUCUGACCACGGUUUUCUGGAGUUUUUUCGUAUGGAGUUUGUAAGCUUCCUGACAUGUUAUUUUUGGCAGAUUUUGAUGGAUGUACAUUGAUGGAUAGCCACGUGGAUCCAGAAAAUAAAGACUUCUACUCUGCAUUUGACUAAAGCAGAAGAUAUGCAAGGAAGCUCAGUCUCUCAAUUGAGUGGAUUCUGAAAUUUAUCCUGUUGUCUUCAGCUACUAAGGCUAAUUUGCAAAUCACACUGUGCACGGACGGCGUCUCGCUGUGUUACCCAGGCUGGAGUGCAGUGGCGCGAUCUCAGCUCACUGCAACCUCACCUCCCGGGUUCAAGUGAUUCCUCUGCCUCAGCCUCCGGAGUAGCUGGGACUACAGGUGCGUGCCACCAUGCCUGGCUCAUUUUUUUUGUAUUUUAGUAGAGACGGGGUUUCACCAUGUUGGCCAGGAUGGCCUCGAUUUCCUGACCUUGUGAUCCGCCCGCCUCGGCCUUCCAAAGCGCUGGGAUUACAGUCAUGAGCCACCGUGCCCGGCCAAAUGUAUCUAUUUUUUAAUAGUUUGUACUUGUUGUUCUCUAUUUAAGAAAUGUUGUUUGCCUAUCUGAAAACCAAAAAAACAAACAAACAAACAAAAAAAAAACAAACUCACCUUGAAUUGUAAUAAUCCCCAGGUGUCAAAGGCAGGGCCAGGUGGAGAUAAUUGAAUCAUAGAAGCGGUUUCCCCAAUACUGUUCUCGUGGUAGUGAAUAAGUCUCACGAGAUCUGAUAAUUUUAUAAAUGGGAGUUCCCCUGCAUAAGCUCUCUUGCCUGCCGCAAAGUAAGACAGGUAUUUGCCUCUUCUUUGCCUUCCGCCGUGAUUGUGAGGCCUCCCCAGCCAUGUGGAACUGUGAGUUCAUUAAAACUCUUUUCUUUAUAAAUUACCAGUCUCGUGUGUGUCCUUAUAGCAGUGUGAGAAUGAAGAAAUACAUUUUUUUCAUAUUUCACAUAUAAUUUAACAAUUUUAGUUAGUAUAGAUGAAUAAUUUAUCUUGAGGUUUUUUAAAUGCAUGACUUAAGGAAAAGGUUGACAUUUAUCCUUCCUCCCAAAGAGGAUAUGCAGUUAUCCCAACACCGCUUGUUGAAAAAGCUUCUUUUAUCUUGUAAAUUGUCUUCACCACUUUGCCAAUAAUUAAUAGACCAUGUAAAUGUAGAUCUAUUUCUGGAUUUUAUUUUUUUCCAUUUCCCUACUGGGCCAAUGCCUUGUCUGGAUUUGAUUGUCUUGAUGACUACACUUUGAAAUGUCUUCUAAAUUGUCCUGCUUUUCAAAGAUUCUUCUGACUUUUCUAAAUAAUUUGCUAAUAUGUAAAUUUUAAAAUCAGCUUCUCAACCUCUCACAAAAAAGCCUACUAGAAUUUUAAUUGGGAUUGAAUUCCAUCUACAAGUCAAUUUGGACAGAACGGCCAUUUUCAACAAUAAUGAAUUUUUCAGUUCCCAAACAUGAUGUAUUUACUCCAUUUACUUUUUUUCUAUUUCUCUUUGCAAUGUUUUCUAGUUUUCCAUUUACCAAUUUUAUACAUUUGUUGUUUAUUCCUAGUAUAUUUUUCUAGAUACUAAUAAUAAACUUUUUUUUAUCAUUAGACUUCAGUGAAACUUUGUUUUUGAAUGCUAAUAUUAUAUCUGAAAAUCUUUGUACAUUCAUAUAUAAGAGCUGGUGGUUUUUGUGUAGAUUUCUUAGGAUUUUUCUAUAUAAACAGUUAUACAGUCUGAAUAAAACAGUUUUGUUUCUUUUGUUUCAAUUGUUUGAUAUGACAUUUCUUUUUCUUCUUCUAUUUUCUUCCUUUUCUUUUUCUUUUUUUUUUUUUCUUUGAGAUGGAGUAGUCUGUUUCUGUUGACCAGGCUGGAGUGCAGUGGUGCAAUCUCGGCUCACUGCCACCUCUGCCUCCUGGGCUCCCAGGUUCAAACGAUUCUCCUGCCUCAUCCUCCCAAGUAGCUGGGAUUACAGGUGUGUGCCAUCAUACCCGGCUAAUUUUUGUAUUUUUGGUGGAGACAGGGUUUCACCUUGUUGGCCAGGCUGGUCUCGAACUCCUGACCUCAGGUGAUCUGUCUGCCUCAGCCUCCCAAAGUGCUAGGAUUGUUGUACCCGGCGAGUUAAGAAGACACCACACUUUGAGACGAAUUAAGAGUCCUUUAUUAAGCCAGUGGCCAAAUAGACGGCUAAUGCUCAAAAUUCUCUCGGCCACGAGGAAAGGGCUCGAUUAACUUUUAUACCUAGGUUUAGGAAGGGGAGGGGGACUCAAACGUAAUAAUUCUACAGAAGUAAAAACAUGCAAGAAUCAAAAGAAUCAAAAUGGUUACAGAGUGAUAAUUUAAAAGACAAAUGGUUACAAGAAGAGCAAGGGUGCCACGUGCAAGGUUCUAAAUCUUUUAUUAUAAUUAGAUAUAGGGUCUAUGCCGGACAGGAACUCAAGGUUUUAUGUUGUUAUCUCUUGGAGAAAAUUCCUGGGAACUUAAUACGUUGUUGGUGUUGGUACCUUAUCAGUUAAUUGGGCUCCUUUGAAAUGCUGAGGAUCUGUUUACCCAGGCCAACUCCUCACAAAAGGGGUUUGGGUGAGGAGCCCUAGUGUCUUGUAAAUUAAGGGGUCAGUUGGAGUUUGUCCGGCUUUCCUAGCUAGAGAGAGUCUUAUUUACAUGAGAAGCAAGGCUAGGUGAUUAAAGAGACAGGCAGGACAAAAUUCAAAGUAACCAGUUAAAGUAAAAACACGGUUAGGCAUUUCAGGAUUACAAGCGUGAGCCACCACGCCCAGCCAACAUUUCUUUUUUACCUUGCUUUAUUGCACUGGCUAAGAAUUAUGAUUAAAUGCUGAAUGAAAAUAGAACAAACAUUUUUGCAUUUUUUCCCUGACUUGCAGGAUUCAGAUUUUAACACUAAGUAUGAUUAUAUAACGGUUUUAUAUUAUAGAUGCCCUUAUCCACUGAUAAAUUAAAGUUUUCUUCAAUUAUUAGUAUGCUGAGGUUUUUGUCAUGAAUAGAUUUUGAAUUACAUCAAAUAUUUCUUGGGCAUUCAUUUACAUAUCACUUUAUUAAUAUGGUUAAAUAUGGUAAUUAAUUUUCUAAAGUUAAUAGAAUAUUUUCAAUAUUUGAAAUACACCAUAUUUGGUCAUGAUGCAUUAUCUUUUUAAAGUAACUGCUGCAAUUCAUUUGUUAACAUUUUAUAAGGAUUUUUUAAAAAUCUGUUUUCAUUUCUGUUGUCUUUGUUUGACAUUGGUAUCAGAGUAAUGCUGACCUAACAAAAUGAAUUGGAAGAUGUUUCCUCUAACUAUAUUUCCUAAAAUCCUUUUGAGGCUGGUAUUAUUUGUUUAUUAAAUAUUUGAUAGAGUUUAUCAGUGAAACAAUCUGGGCCAGGACUUUUGUUUCCUAGUUGUUAGGAGAUUUUUAUUACAAUUUAAUUUAUUUAAAUGGCAUAGAUAUUUAGAUUUCUAUUUGUUAUCUCCUUUUGAGUCAGUUUUGGCACUGUGUAUCUUUCCAGAAUUUUUCUGUUUCAUGUAGAUUCUCAAAUGUUUUGGUAUAAUUUAUUCAUAAUAUUCUCAUAUUAUCCAGUCUUUUUCAUGAUCCUGUAUUUUAAGAUUUAACCCGCUGGAUCUGUCAUGACAUUCUGUUGCAUUACUUAUAUUGGUAAUUUGUAUUUUAGAUUUUGUAUUUUAUCAGCCUAGUUACAGGCCAAUUAAUUAUAUUGAUCUUUACUAAUAUUUAAUUGCAUUAACAUUCUCUAUUUUUUAUUAUAUUCCUUUUUUUUUACUUUGGUUUAAUUUGCGUUGUUGUUUCUUGAGGUGGGAACUUCUAUCAUUAGAUUAUUGAUUUUUAGAACUUUCUUCUUUAAACAUGCAUCUUUAUAAAUUUCACUUUAAUCAUUCAUAUUUUCUUAUUCAUAUUGUUAUAAAAAUGUUUUUAUUUUUCUUAUGAUUUCUGUUUUGACUCAUGAAUUAUCUAGAAUUAUGUUGUUAAUUUUCAAAUAAUUGGAGUUUUCCUAGUUGUCUUACUGCAAUUGGUGUCAAUUUUAAUUCUACUAUGUUCGGAGAACACCAUAUUUGAUUUUAAUCUUUUCUAGUUUAUUAUUUUUUUAUGGGCCACAAUAUGGUCUAACUUAGAAAAUAGUCCAUGUGUAUCCACAAAGAACAAGUAUGUUACAAGUUUUGGAUGUAUUCUUCUACACGUAUCAAUUAAGUAAAGGUGGUGGUUGUGUCUUUCAGACCUAUGCCUCUUCUAAUUAUUUCUCUAGUUGCGUUAUCAUUUGCUUAGAAAAUAUGUUGAAUUAGUUUUGUAUUGAUGCUGUCAAAAAUUAUCACAUAUUUAGUGGCUUAAAAACAAUUCCUAUUUACUAACUAACAGCUCUGUAGUUCCUCAGUCCAAGUAAAGCAUGGCUCAGCUAUUUCUGUUCUCUGGGUUUCACAGGCCCCAGGAAAGUGUCAGCAGGGCUGUGCUCCUUUCUGGGUGUUCUUAGUAUGAAUCUGCUUCCAAUCUCAGUUAGGUUCUUCGAAGAAUUCAUUUUCAUGCUGUUGCAGAAAUGAGUUCCCCAUUUGCUUGCUGGCUACUGGUGAGAAGUUGCUUUUAGCCAUUCAUUAGUUCAGGAUUUCCUUCCUCCAUCUCAGAAUCCAGUAAUAACAGUUUGUGUUUUCUUCAUGCUUCAAAUCUUUCUGACCUCCCUUGGGCUUCAUCCCCAUCUCCUACUUACUUUCUUUCU